UUGUAAUCUAUACAUUGAGCAUGUAUUCUAGUGAUUGUAUUAUACAUUGAGUAGUUGCAUUGUUAGUUAAUUCAUUUUUGGGAAAUUUCUUAUGUGUGCGAUUUUUUGUUAGAUAAUGGUGUGUAGUAAUCACAUGAACUUCCAAGAUAACGUGAACCAAGUAGUUACCCAUGAGCUAAUUCAUCCAUUUGAUGAUAGCCAUGCUAAGAACUUGGAUUGGGCUAAUUGCGCUCAUCAUGCUUGUAGUGAGGUGCGUGUGGGUAGUGAAUUGGAGAGAAGAAUGCAUGACGGUGAUGAGAGUUUGUGAACUCUUACUAGCAGCCAAGGAUGGAAUGGAAGUGUGGCUCAUGAACCUUGCUGGCUACUAAGAAAAUUAACUCUCUAAUUCACUGGGCUAAGCAAUCUAGUCAUAAUUUUGAUUAAGGCCCUAACCCUUUUGUUCAAUUAUGCAUAUAUUUUCAUCUUAAAGCAAUCUUAAAUUUGAAACGUUUGAUGGCACUGAUAGCCAAUUAUAUGUAUAGUAAUUGGAAAGUAAGAUCAAGUCGAGAUAGGAUUAAACUAAUUGCCCACCAUAUAAAUUAAUACUUGGCUUGUUUUUUGGGAGAGCCACAUCUUCACUGCUAAAGAGAAUUUCCUCUGUUUAUAAUAUGUUUAUUUAGUUAGUGAGGUGCGCAUGGGUGUGACAUUAGAUUUUUAUUUUUUGUUAUUGUUUUCCUGGAUAUUGCAUUUGAUAGUGUCUCUUAAAUUUAUUUGCUUUUUAUCGUUUAUGAUGUGUGCAUAACAGAUUCUACAGGUCACCUGAGUGGUGAUUGUCACUACAAACGUGAAUUGCUUCGAGGUCAUGGGCAAUAGCUAUUCAAGAAAUUUGCUCCUUAAGUGAACCAGGGAUGGACAAAUAGGGAGGAGGUUAUCCAAAUUCAAGUAGGUCUCCCUCAAAUAAAUUCAUUAACUUGGAAUGAUCAUUUGUCCAAUAGACUGGUUAACCUGUGGGCUAGGAAGUUUAUUUCUCUUAAUUGUGAUUUAUCUUUUAACUUUUUAAAUGUUUCUAGCCUCCCUAAUAACAUUUGCUCAUAUGAUUUUGUUGUUGCUUUAUAUUUAUCUAUGUAAUUCCCUUUUGUA